rnacentral:lncRNA from 10 species
GUAAAGCUCUGGGUCCCUCUGUCUUUGUGUUUAAGGCAGGGUCUCCCCAAAGUGCUUGUUGUGAAGGAGGUGGUGGUAUUUGGCCUGAGUGUGGGAGAGGCAGCCAGAAGGGGUGGGGGCAUGGGAGUGGGGAGCUGGUGAGCCACAUGCACCUUUCCUUAAGAACCGGUGGGUACCAGGCAGGGGCACUUUCCUCAGGAUCUCAGGGUUCCUCCAACAGACCUAGAAGGUAAAUCUGUCAUCAACCUCACCCGAAAAACCAGGAAGCCAAGGCUCAGAGACGGGGAGUGAGUUGCCCAGGACGCCCCAGCUUUCUGAGUGUGGGAUCUGGGAGCACAGAGGAGAGCCCAGAGCUUGCCGGGGAUGGAGAGUCAGCAAGGUGGGGGGCCUCCAGUGUGGGCCAGGCAUGGAGACCAGGAGGGUGAGACAGGAGGCUCCCAGCUUUUCAGCAGGGGCCUUGAGGAGACUGAGGUGACAGCAGUGGCCCUGCCUUCGUGUCCUCUGAAGGACUCUGCAGAGAUUAAGACUCUGUGGCUCAUUUCUUU